AUGAAUUAUCUAAGCUGGAACUGCCGGGGGCUUGGGAACCCCGAGGCAGUUCGAGAGCUUCGCAAAAUUGUGAAGCAAGAAGGGCCUUCCCUGGUUUUUGUUAUGGAGACAAAGAUUAGGGCGACAAGGGUGGAAAAUUUAAAGCAUUCACUUGGGUUUGCGGGAAGUUUCGCGGUUGAUAGCAUGGGUCUCAGUGGUGGAAUUGGACUGUUU
rnacentral:rRNA from 1 species